UCUGACCUAUCAGCUUUCGACGGUAUGGUAUUGGCUUACCGUGGCAGUGACGGUUAACGGGGGAUUAGGGUUCGAUUCCGGAGAGGGAGCCUGAGAAACGGCUACCACAUCUAAGGAAGGCAGCAGGCGCGCAAAUUACCCAAUUCUAACAGUUUGAGAGAGGUAGUAACAAGAAAUAACAAUACAAGGCAGUUAAAAUGCUUUGUAAUUGGAAUGAUAGAAAUUUAAACCCUUUUUAAAGUAUCAAUUGGAGGGCAAGUCUGGUGCCAGCAGCCGCGGUAAUUCCAGCUCCAAUAGCGUAUAUUAAAAUUGUUGCAGUUAAAAAGCUCGUAGUUGAAGUUCUGCUGAAAGUAACCGGUCUGCUUUUAAUAAAAGUGGUAUCUUGGUAUGUAUUUAGCAAUGAUGUCCUUUGAAGUGUUUUUUACUUUAUUGUAAUAAAGCAUAUUCAGGACUUUUACUUUGAGAAAAUUAGAGUGUUUCUAGCAGGCUGACGCUUUGAAUACUGCAGCAUGGAAUAAUAAGA
rnacentral:rRNA from 1 species